AGUCGAACGAGUUCUGAUUAUUGAAAGGUGCUUGCAUCUUGAUUUAAUUUUGAACGAGUGGCGGACGGGUGAGUAACACGUGGGUAACCUGCCCUUAAGUGGGGGAUAACAUUUGGAAACAGAUGCUAAUACCGCAUAAAUCCAAGAACCGCAUGGUUCUUGGCUGAAAGAUGGCGUAAGCUAUCGCUUUUGGAUGGACCCGCGGCGUAUUAGCUAGUUGGUGAGGUAACGGCUCACCAAGGCAAUGAUACGUAGCCGAACUGAGAGGUUGAUCGGCCACAUUGGGACUGAGACACGGCCCAAACUCCUACGGGAGGCAGCAGUAGGGAAUCUUCCACAAUGGACGCAAGUCUGAUGGAGCAACGCCGCGUGAGUGAAGAAGGCUUUCGGGUCGUAAAACUCUGUUGUUGGAGAAGAAUGGUCGGCAGAGUAACUGUUGUCGGCGUGACGGUAUCCAACCAGAAAGCCACGGCUAACUACGUGCCAGCAGCCGCGGUAAUACGUAGGUGGCAAGCGUUAUCCGGAUUUAUUGGGCGUAAAGCGAGCGCAGGCGGUUUUUUAAGUCUGAUGUGAAAGCCCUCGGCUUAACCGAGGAAGUGCAUCGGAAACUGGGAAACUUGAGUGCAGAAGAGGACAGUGGAACUCCAUGUGUAGCGGUGAAAUGCGUAGAUAUAUGGAAGAACACCAGUGGCGAAGGCGGCUGUCUGGUCUGUAACUGACGCUGAGGCUCGAAAGCAUGGGUAGCGAACAGGAUUAGAUACCCUGGUAGUCCAUGCCGUAAACGAUGAAUGCUAGGUGUUGGAGGGUUUCCGCCCUUCAGUGCCGCAGCUAACGCAUUAAGCAUUCCGCCUGGGGAGUACGACCGCAAGGUUGAAACUCAAAGGAAUUGACGGGGGCCCGCACAAGCGGUGGAGCAUGUGGUUUAAUUCGAAGCAACGCGAAGAACCUUACCAGGUCUUGACAUCUUUUGAUCACCUGAGAGAUCGGGUUUCCCCUUCGGGGGCAAAAUGACAGGUGGUGCAUGGUUGUCGUCAGCUCGUGUCGUGAGAUGUUGGGUUAAGUCCCGCAACGAGCGCAACCCUUAUGACUAGUUGCCAGCAUUUAGUUGGGCACUCUAGUAAGACUGCCGGUGACAAACCGGAGGAAGGUGGGGAUGACGUCAAAUCAUCAUGCCCCUUAUGACCUGGGCUACACACGUGCUACAAUGGAUGGUACAACGAGUUGCGAGACCGCGAGGUCAAGCUAAUCUCUUAAAGCCAUUCUCAGUUCGGACUGUAGGCUGCAACUCGCCUACACGAAGUCGGAAUCGCUAGUAAUCGCGGAUCAGCACGCCGCGGUGAAUACGUUCCCGGGCCUUGUACACACCGCCCGUCACACCAUGAGAGUUUGUAACACCCGAAGCCGGUGGCGUAACCCU
rnacentral:rRNA from 1 species